UUUCCAUUCCAUCCCCAUCCGUUUGCCCAAUUUUUGCACUUCUCUUUUUUCAUACCCAUUCCCACGGCCCUCCCCAAUUACCAGGAGUUCCCCUGUCUUGAAUCUCCUCUCUCCUUCAUAAACGAGUUGUUUCUUACUUAUCUCACAGCUAGAUGUUGUUCUCCCUCUCUCUGUCGCACACCCUACAUUUCCAAUUCCCCCUCCUCCGAUUUCCUAUGAUUGGUCUGUCUUCUACUCUUUUUAGUUAGUUUCCCUAAAGAUCUUGUUCUUCCGUUAGCCCUCCCCGCCAAAGACGCCACGCUUCUGAACUUGUUGUGCCACCAACAUGUUCGAUGAAAUGCACACCCCGUAUUGACAAGAUAUUGUGCAUAGAGCACCAGCAGAGUGCUAUCUGUAUUCACUUGUGAGUUGUGGCAUGCUUUUGUCAAGGAUGAAUAUUCAAGCUUGACAAAUAAAUAUUCAGAGAUGAUCUGCUGGGUUUGAUCAAGGGCUCGUUACCUUGGAUAAAAAUUGUACUUCUAUAACUAUAUUAUCAACUUUAUAGAAUCAUGACCGAGACUAUCAUCGAAUGAUGUCCUGAGGUCCUUAUGUUUUGUACAUUCAAUCCUGUGAUAUCUGAUCUA